rfam:Picea glauca, whole genome shotgun sequence.
AAUCUAAAUCAUACAACGCUAAUGCACCGGAUCCCAUUAGUACUCCGCAAUUAAGAACAUUGGGGCUAGAGUAGUAUUGGGAUGGGUGACCUCCCGAGAAGUCCUAGUGUUUUACAUGC